GAUGAACGCUGGCGGCGUGCCUAAUACAUGCAAGUCGAGCGAACAGACGAGGAGCUUGCUCCUCUGACGUUAGCGGCGGACGGGUGAGUAACACGUGGAUAACCUACCUAUAAGACUGGGAUAACUUCGGGAAACCGGAGCUAAUACCGGAUAAUAUAUUGAACCGCAUGGUUCAAUAGUGAAAGACGGUUUUGCUGUCACGUAUAGAUGGAUCCGCGCCGCAUUAGCUAGUUGGUAAGGUAACGGCUUACCAAGGCAACGAGGCGUAGCCGACCUGAGAGGGUGAUCGGCCACACUGGAACUGAGACACGGUCCAGACUACUACGGGACGCAGCAGUAGGGAAUCUUCCGCAAUGGUCGAAAGCCUGACGGAGCAACGCCGCGUGAGUGAUGAAGGUCUUCGGAUCGUAAAACUCUGUUAUUAGGGAAGAACAAAUGUGUAAGUAACUAUGCACGUCUUGACGGUACCUAAUCAGAAAGCCACGGCUAACUACGUG
rnacentral:rRNA from 1 species